AGCCCUGUAGUCUAGCCGGCCAAGGAUGCGAGGCUCUGGACCUUGCGACUCAGGUUCAAAUCCUGACGGGGCUA
rnacentral:tRNA from 1 species